GAACACGCCGCGUGAGUGAUGAAGGCCUUCGGGUUGUAAAGCUCUGUCUUCUGUGAAGAACAAGCCUAUGAACAGAAUGCUUAGGCCCUGACGGUAACAGAGGAGGAAGCCCCGGCUAACUACGUGCCAGCAGCCGCGGUAAUACGUAGGGGGCAAGCGUUGUCCGGAAUCACUGGGCGUAAAGCGCGCGCAGGCGGCUGUCUACGUCCGGGGUGAAAGCCCAGAGCUCAACUCUGGGAUUGCCUUGGAUACGGGAUGGCUUGAGGAUCGGAGAGGCAAGGGGAAUUCCACGUGUAGCGGUGAAAUGCGUAGAGAUGUGGAGGAACACCUGUGGCGAAGGCGCCUUGCUGGCCGAUUUCUGACGCUGAGGCGCGAAAGCGUGGGGAGCAAACAGGAUUAGAUACCCUGGUAGUCCACGCCGUAAACGAUGAGUGCUAGGUGUUGGGGGGUACCACCCUCAGUGCCGAAGCUAACGCAUUAAGCACUCCGCCUGGGGAGUACGGUCGCAAGACUGAAACUCA
rnacentral:rRNA from 1 species